rnacentral:misc_RNA from 1 species
GGAGGAGGAGGAGGUGGUGGUGGAUGCGAAAAGAAACUAACAAAGGUAGUGUUUUGAUAGGCUGUGUCAUAAGAGAAUAUGAUUACAAGAUUGUGAACCUUCCUUUGUAGCAACCAAAACAAAAAGAACCCCUCUCCCUUUCUUUUAGCCACGCUCUUAUUUCAUAAAUAAAAAGUAAUGCAUUAUUGUUAAAUCACAAAACUAUAAAACGAGUAAACUUUUCCAUGUUGACAUAUAAUAGAUAACAAGAUACAAUUUAAAAUCAAAACUGUUAUCUUUAGAAGUGAAUUUCAUGUGUGGAUUUGGGGAGGGGGAGGGAGUACAAUUAGUACUUUCCUCACAUCUCUCCUAGACUUGUGAUUGCAAGUUAGAAAGAGUUUAAUACAAGGAACACCACUUAGAUGCACAUGCAAAGAUAUGGCUAUUUUAAAUUAUGACUUUUUUUUCAGAAAAAACAUAAAUCCAAAUGAAAAUUAGUAAUGAAUGAGAGAGAGAGAGAGAG